rnacentral:tRNA from 1 species
UUCGACGUGGGAUGGGCAUCCCGACGUCGCCAUCGUCGAGAUCGGUGGUACGGUCGGCGACAUCGAGUCGCUUCCGUUCCUUGAAGCC